GAAUUUUGGACAAUGGGCGAUAGCCUGAUCCAGCAAUGCCGCGCGCAGGAUGAAAGCCUUCGGGUUGUAAACUGCUUUUGUACGGAAAGAAAAGCAUUUGGCUAAUACCCUGGAGUCAUGACGGUACCGACAGAAUACGCUACGGCUAACUACGUGCCAGCAGCCGCGGUAAUACGUAGGGUGAAAGCGUUAAUCGGAAUUACUGGGCGUAAAGCGUGCGCAAGCUGUUUUGUAAGACAGAGGUGAAAUCCCCGGGCUCAACCUGGGAACUGCCUUUGUGACUGCAAGGCUAGAGUACGGCAGAGGGGGGUGGAAUUCCGCGUGUAGCAGUGAAAUGCGUAGGUAUGCGGAAGAACACCGAUGGCGAAGGCAACCCCCUGGGCCUGUACUGACGCUCAUGCACGAAAGCGUGGGGAGCAAACA
rnacentral:rRNA from 1 species